rnacentral:sRNA from 1 species
ACCGAUGGCACCCCAAAGGAUUUGGGCAAUGUAGGUAGAAUUUGAAGGGAGAACGACAUUGGUGAGACCGAAGGAGGAAGUGCCAGUCUCAGUGAGGAUAGUACCAGUGUCCUGGAACCACUUGCCAACUCGAGGCCACAGCCACUCGUGCUUGAUUUCAUCACCCUUAGGAUCGGGCACGACAGGGCUGUCGACGCUCUUAUCCUCAACCUUUUGCUCGACACUCUGGCCCUUAGAUUGCUUACCCCGACCGAGCUUCUCAAAGGCAGGCCUGAGAAGAGGCAAAAUGGUCCUGAUAUCGGUGGUAGGGUAGGAAGCGUACCCAAUAGUGGUGGUAAAAGAGUGGAGUUCGAUGAUAACCUUUGGAUCAAUGUUGACGGAGAAUGAUCCAGAGUUGAAGUCAGACUUGAGGGCACCGACGUAAAGGACAAAGUCAGAAGACUCGACUUCCUUUUGGACGGUAGGAAGAGAGUUGGCACCGGCAUAGCAGCCUCCAUAGAGUGGGUGGCGCUCGUCCAUCAAACUCUUACCCAUGGGCGCUACAAUCUGUCAGCGAGGUGGUCGCUGUGAAUGAGAAAAAUACUCACUCUCAAAAAAUCGGAUACCACAGGCAUCGACCAGCUUCCUAACCUCAAGAGCCAUACCGAACCUGCCAGCACAAGCAUCUACAAGGAUGAUAGGCUUCUUAGCCUCACCGAAUCGCUUAGCAAUGUCCUCAACGACAUGGGCUGUCACAUCAUCAGAGGAGGGAGCACUGGGAACAUUAGUAGGGGCAGUGCUGAGGGAAACUUGCGCGGCUCCUUGUGAAGCAGCUGAGGCGCCGGUGUUGGAGAGGGAAGUGGCCAUAGACUCGGAAGGGGGAG